GAUUUCUUUUUCGUCGCAACGCUUCCACCGCGAGGUUGAUUUUUAUUUUGUCGCCACAAAUAAAAUUAUAUACACAUUACUAAAAUGAUUAUGAUGCAUUGGGGAAGCUAACGGAUGCCGUGUUAAAUUACCGUCAAUGGCCUGAACAAAAUUCAAAAUGUGAUUACAUUGAAUCACAAUGUGCCGCACGUGUUGGCAGAAUUAUUAAGCAUCACCACGUGUUCAAUUUUCUCGAUUCGUUGGGUACACUGCCAAAAACUUAAGUUGUCUUUGAAAAGACAGAAGAAGCCCCUUUGUACGGAAGAAUGCAAUUCAGAGAAUAAAGUAAUUGCUUGCUUUUCAUUGACUGAAUUGGUUUGAAAGCUGUAACUCAAGAUGACGUAGCGUAUUCUUUGUAAACUUAUUAAACAGUUGUUAAAAGUCAAAGAUUGCUGAAAGAUUUGCAGUAGCAACAACCUUAUCUUUUCAAUGGCAGCAGCAAAAGAUAAUCUUUAAAUCGGGACUACGUUUGCCGUUUGUUCAAAUAUCAAAAUAGGCAAACCAAAUGUCGUCAUCUUCAUCGACUAUUAUAAGCCUUAAAUGUACAAGCUGAAUUUGAAUAAAACCACUAAAUUUGUUAAAUGUAUUUUAACGUGAUAUAUUUUAUUUGCAUUUCAUAUUAUAGACAUUCAUUUGUUGUUGGGUAUUAUCUUUGUCGCCUUGGGCCGAUUCAUUGGCACCAUGCGUAAUAUAUAAGAAUAUUUUGUUGUUUUGUAAAUGUUGUAUUCUGUCAACUCUUAUUACACUACAUAAUAUGUUUGUAUACUCGUA